GCCUGACUCUCCGUGUGCUUGUUGCCAUUGCGAGAGGACGCCUCAGCAGCGCAAAGCACAGCACUGUGCCUGGCGGCUUGGAGGCCCUCCUUGGGCCUGGCCCAGGGUGGAGCAGUACACACAUCCCCGCUCCUGUUGCUGCCUGCCAGCGGGAUGAGCAGGAAGCUGGACAGCCCCUCCUGAGCAAACAGCAGGCUCCAUCACGGCCUCAUCCGGCCUUGCUGCGGGUGGGCUGUAGAGCACGGAAAGUUCCAGCUAUCCUCUCCCUAACCCCCCCACACGCACACAGAGAGGCAGGAUGUAGCCCAUGGAAGGAAUCGGCUCUGUUUGCACUGCACAAGGACAUCACACGCUGGCCUGGGCUCCUCAGCAGUCAAGUAUGUGCCUGGAGGGCUGGCUCCAAAGCUGUCUGUGGCAGCAGGGCUAGUCUGCUCCCUGCAGCCGCUGUGCUCAGCUCCUCCCCGAGGCCAGCCCUCCUCUCACGGCAUGCCAGGGAGCGCUCAGACAGCCACGCAGAACCUUACGGUUGAGGUUUCGUCCCAAAUACACCCUCCUACCACCCACUCGGAGCAAACCCAUUUUGUUUGCCUAAUGAGAACAAAGGGCUGAGCCAGGUAACCCUGCCAAGCUUACAGCCAGGAUUUGAGAUGUUCACAUCCCAUCUAUAACACCUGAACCCACCCAUUCGGCUAAUCCCUACGCAGCUAUCAUAAAUCAUCCUGUGUCACAGGCAUCA